rnacentral:rRNA from 1 species
CAUGCAAGUCGAACGAGCGAGAGAGAGCUUGCUUUCUCGAGCGAGUGGCGAACGGGUGAGUAACGCGUGAGGAACCUGCCUCAAAGAGGGGGACAACAGUUGGAAACGACUGCUAAUACCGCAUAAGCCCACGACCCGGCAUCGGGUAGAGGGAAAAGGAGCAAUCCGCUUUGAGAUGGCCUCGCGUCCGAUUAGCUAGUUGGUGAGGUAACGGCCCACCAAGGCGACGAUCGGUAGCCGGACUGAGAGGUUGAACGGCCACAUUGGGACUGAGACACGGCCCAGACUCCUACGGGAGGCAGCAGUGGGGAAUAUUGCACAAUGGGGGAAACCCUGAUGCAGCGACGCCGCGUGGAGGAAGAAGGUCUUCGGAUUGUAAACUCCUGUUGUUGGGGAAGAUAAUGACGGUACCCAACAAGGAAGUGACGGCUAACUACGUGCCAGCAGCCGCGGUAAAACGUAGGUCACAAGCGUUGUCCGGAAUUACUGGGUGUAAAGGGAGCGCAGGCGGGAAGACAAGUUGGAAGUGAAAUCUAUGGGCUCAACCCAUAAACUGCUUUCAAAACUGUUUUUCUUGAGUAGUGCAGAGGUAGGCGGAAUUCCCGGUGUAGCGGUGGAAUGCGUAGAUAUCGGGAGGAACACCAGUGGCGAAGGCGGCCUACUGGGCACCAACUGACGCUGAGGCUCGAAAGUGUGGGUAGCAAACAGGAU